UACGUAGGCAGCGAGCGUUGUUCGGAAUUACUGGGCGUAAAGAGUGUGUAGGCGGUGCUCUAAGUCUGGUGUGAAAUCUCCCGGCUCAACUGGGAGGGUGCGCCGGAAACUGGAAUGCUGGAGUGUGGGAGAGGUAAGCGGAAUUCCUGGUGUAGCGGUGAAAUGCGUAGAUAUCAGGAGGAACACCUGUGGUGUAGACAGCUUACUGGACCACGACUGACGCUGAGACACGAAAGCGUGGGUAGCAAACAGGAUUAGAUACCCUGGUAGUCCACGCCCUAAACGAUGCAUACUUGGUGUGAGCGAUUCAUUUCGUUCGUGCCGGAGCUAACGCGUUAAGUAUGCCGCCUGGGGAGUACGGUCGCAAGGCUGAA
rnacentral:rRNA from 1 species